GUAGCUACCAGGCAUGGACCUACCUCCUAAAGAGACCAAAGUUCUCCGCUACCAGCCCGGGAGGAAUCUGGGGCUGCUAUCCAGAACCAAACCUCUCUCAGGAGGUAGACAAAAGCCAUAAACUUUUCCAAAACAUGUUACAAAGGCACGCUCGCGAGGACGCAAGGGGAACGACCAGGCACGCACCUACCUUCAAAAGGGACAAGAGCUCUCCAGUACCUGCUGUGGACGAAUCUGGGACUACUACCCAGACAAAGGGAACUGGGCACUCGUCAAUACACCUGCCCUGGAGCGCUUCUGGAUGCUGCAUGAGUUUCUCUCUCCCUGCAAUUCGGUAAAGAACACGCUGCAAAAUGCCUGGCAGGAAUCAACUCCCUGCUCACCAGCUACUUGUGCACCUUUCAGCUGGCCCACGAUCAGCUGUUGGAACACAGAGUCGUGAGAAAAGAAAAUUCUCAGCUAUCUGCCCUGGAGGAAUGUGAGGCUGCUAUGCAGAACCAAACCACCCUGAGGAGAUAUAAAAAAGCCAAAGAGU